UACGGGGGGGGUAAGCGUUGUUCGGAAUUACUGGGCGUAAAGGGCUCGUAGGCGGCCAACUAAGUCGGACGUGAAAUCCCUCAGCUUAACUGGGGAACUGCGUCCGAUACUGGAUGGCUUGGAUUUGGGAGAGGGAUGCGGAAUUCCAGGUGUAGCGGUGAAAUGCGUAGAUAUCUGGAGGAACACCGGUGGCGAAGGCGGAUCUCUGGGCCUUACCUGACGCUGAGGAGCGAAAGCGUGGGGAGCGAACAGG
rnacentral:rRNA from 1 species